rnacentral:rRNA from 1 species
GACGAACGCUGGCGGCGUGCUUAACACAUGCAAGUCGAACGGAAAGGCUCCAGCUUGCUGGAGUACUCGAGUGGCGAACGGGUGAGUAACACGUGGGUAAUCUGCCCUGCACUCUGGGAUAAGCCUGGGAAACUGGGUCUAAUACUGGAUAUGACCUUUCUCCUUAUGGGGUUUGGUGGAAAGUUUUUCGGUGUAGGAUGAGCCCGCGGCCUAUCAGCUUGUUGGUGGGGUGAUGGCCUACCAAGGCGACGACGGGUAGCCGGCCUGAGAGGGUGAUCGGCCACAUUGGGACUGAGAUACGGCCCAGACUCCUACGGGAGGCAGCAGUGGGGAAUAUUGCACAAUGGGCGGAAGCCUGAUGCAGCGACGCCGCGUGAGGGAUGACGGCCUUCGGGUUGUAAACCUCUUUCAGCAGGGACGAAGCGUAAGUGACGGUACCUGCAGAAGAAGCACCGGCCAACUACGUG